rnacentral:lncRNA from 1 species
AGAUGCUCCCAGGCUCUCCCGCAGUUUAAAGACUUAACUCAGCGGCUUUCAGGGCCUGUGGUUGAGGGACUCCGAAAGAACUGUUGCUGGUGGACCGGUUCAGGGUCUUGACUUCGCCACACAAAAGAACUUGAGAGCACGUCCAAAGUAAAGCUAAGACCUCUAGUACAGUGUUCAAUGGAACUGGUGAGAAAAGACGUCCUUGCUGUGUUCCUGAUAUGAAGAGGAAAGCAGUCCUUCUCCAUUAAAUGCUGACAACAUGAGCCUCCCGUGGUCGGAACGGGCUUGUGAAGGCGGUGCUGGGGUGCACCAGGGCAGCAGCUACAGCAUUUACUGUCUGGGUCAAAGAGGAUGUGUCCUAAAAGGAGAAUGAGAAAUAAAACCCAGAAGGAGAAAGAAAACGUGGAGAAUAUUGCUGAUUGCAGCCAAGGGAAGAGAAUGUUUCCAGAAGGAGGUUACCACUGCGAGGUCAAGUAAGGGACUGGAGAAUGCUUCUGUAUCUUGGCAGGUGGGGCCAUUGGAGGGAGUAGUUGUGACCAGGUGAAGGGCUGAGGGGCAGAGCAGAGUAGAGUGAGGAGUAAAUGUGAGAUAAGAAAAUGGAUCAGGGGAAUAGUCUUAUAUUUCAAGAGAUGACAGCUAGAUUGGACACUCAAGUAAAAUGUGAGAAAUUUUUUAAACAGAAAAUACUUGAGCUAUUUAACAUUGAUGAAAAUGAUCCAGUUAAAAUAUGCAAGCAAGAAAGGGACAUGAAAAUUGCAGAGUAAAGACCUCUGAAAAUUCCCUCUUCCAUAAAAAAAGAAACUUGCAGAAAAGAUCAGAAUAAGCUUUUUCAGAAUUCGAGAAAUUAACCAAAGCUUGCAGCAAUGCAGGAAGGGUUUGUUUUUUCCCCAAGAAAAGUGGCUGAAUCUCAGUAAGAAGAUUGAGCUUUGUGGUAUUUUAAUUUUCCAUUGUCUCAUCUCCCACUCUCCAAUUCCAUAAUGAUCUUGAAAAAUAGCAGCUCACAUCCCCAGUGCAAACUGAAAGUCACUAGAGAAUGCAGAGGGGAGCUAGAACUCUUCAAAGCCUCAUUCUCAAGGAACUGUCACUUGUGACAUGUCAGGUAAUCCCUGGAAGACCCUUCUUACAAGGCUGUCUGUAUGUGAUUGAUUUGGAGCUUACACAGUAGGAAAAACCUCCUCUCUAGGGGUGAUUAUUUAAAAUAAUUACUGGCAGUUCUUUUAACUUUGUAGCUGCCUAAGGUGGUAGAUAACCAUUUAUGUAAAAGUAUUCUAACAAAAACCUUUAAAAGGAAAUGCUAAAACUCCUAAAAUUCAACAUUGAGAAAACAAAUAAUUCAAUUAAAAAGAGGGCACAAGAUUUGAACAGGCACUUCACCGAAGAAGAUAACAGAUGGAAAA